rnacentral:rRNA from 1 species
UAGGGAAUAUUGCACAAUGGGCGAAAGCCUGAUGCAGCAACGCCGCGUGCGCGAUGAAGGCCUUCGGGUCGUAAAGCGCUUUUCGGGGAGAAGAGGAAGGACGGUAUCCCCGGAAUAAGGCUCGGCUAACUACGUGCCAGCAGCCGCGGUAAAACGUAGGAGCCAAGCGUUAUCCGAAUUCACUGGGCGUAAAGCGCGUGCAGGCGGCCUGGUAAGUUGGAUGUGAAAUCUCCUGGCUCAACUAGGAGAGGCCGUUCAAGACUGUCAGGCUAGAGGGCGACAGAGGGAGGUGGAAUUCCGGGUGUAGUGGUGAAAUGCGUAGAUAUCCGGAGGAACACCAGAGGCGAAGGCGACCUCCUGGGUCGCACCUGACGCUGAGAUGCGAAAGCUAGGGGAGCGAACGGGAUUAGAAACCCCGGUAGUCCUAGCCGUAAACGAUGUAGACUGGGUGUCGGCGGGGUAAAAGCCGUCGGCGCCGAAGCCAACGCGAUAAGUCUACCGCCUGGGGACUACGG